UGGUGGAGUGAUUUGUCUGGUUAAUUCCGUUAACGAACGAGACCUCGACCUGCUAAAUAGUUCAGCGAAGCCUUUUGGCUUCGACUGGCACUUCUUAGAGGGACUCUUGGAUAUGUAGCCAAAGGAAGUUCGAGGCAAUAACA
rnacentral:rRNA from 1 species